rnacentral:rRNA from 1 species
GACGAACGCUGGCGGCGUGCUUAACACAUGCAAGUCGAACGGAAAGGCCCCUUUGGGGGUACUCGAGUGGCGAACGGGCGAGUAACACGUGAGUAACCUGCCCUCGACUUCGGGAUAACCUCAGGAAACUGGGGCUAAUACCGGAUAGGAAUCCUUGCUGCAUGGUUGGGGUUGGAAAGCUUCGGCGGUUUUGGAUGGACUCGCGGCUUAUCAGCUUGUUGGUGGGGUAGUGGCCUACCAAGGCUUUGACGGGUAGCCGGCCUGCGAGAGCGACCGGCCACAUUGGGACUGAGAUACGGCCCAGACUCCUACGGGAGGCAGCAGUGGAGAAUAUUGCGCAAUGGGCGGAAGCCUGAUGCAGCGACGCCGCGUGCGGGAUGACGGCCUUCGGGUUGUAAGCCGCUUUCGGCAGGGGCGAAGCUUGUGGUGACGGUACCUGCAGAAGAAGCACCGGCUAACUACGUG